GACGAACGCGGGCGGCGUGCCUAAUACAUGCAAGUAGAACGCUGAAGGAGGAGCUUGCUCUUCUGGAUGAGUUGCGAACGGGUGAGUAACGCGUAGGUAACCUGCCUGGUAGCGGGGGAUAACUAUUGGAAACGAUAGCUAAUACCGCAUAAGAGUAGAUGUUGCAUGACAUUUGCUUAAAAGGUGCAAUUGCAUCACUACCAGAUGGACCUGCGUUGUAUUAGCUAGUUGGUGAGGUAACGGCUCACCAAGGCGACGAUACAUAGCCGACCUGAGAGGGUGAUCGGCCACACUGGGACUGAGACACGGCCCAGACUCCUACGGGAGGCAGCAGUAGGGAAUCUUCGGCAAUGGACGGAAGUCUGACCGAGCAACGCCGCGUGAGUGAAGAAGGUUUUCGGAUCGUAAAGCUCUGUUGUAAGAGAAGAACGAGUGUGAGAGUGGAAAGUUCACACUGUGACGGUAUCUUACCAGAAAGGGACGGCUAACUACGUGCCAGCAGCCGCGGUAAUACGUAGGUCCCGAGCGUUGUCCGGAUUUAUUGGGCGUAAAGCGAGCGCAGGCGGUUAGAUAAGUCUGAAGUUAAAGGCUGUGGCUUAACCAUAGUACGCUUUGGAAACUGUUUAACUUGAGUGCAAGAGGGGAGAGUGGAAUUCCAUGUGUAGCGGUGAAAUGCGUAGAUAUAUGGAGGAACACCGGUGGCGAAAGCGGCUCUCUGGCUUGUAACUGACGCUGAGGCUCGAAAGCGUGGGGAGCAAACAGG
rnacentral:rRNA from 1 species